rnacentral:tRNA from 1 species
GGGGCAAUAGCUCAGUUGGGAGAGCGCUACGUUCGCAAUGUAGAGGUCGUGGGUUCGAUUCCCAUUUGCUCCA